AGUGGGAUAGCUGGGUCAAAUGGUGGUUUCAUUCCAAGUCUUUUGAGGAAUCUCCAUUCUACUUUCUAGAUUGGUUCCAUCAAUUUGCAGUCCCAUCAGCAAU
rnacentral:pre_miRNA from 1 species